rnacentral:rRNA from 1 species
GUAAGGAAUAUUGCGCAAUGGGCGAAAGCCAGACGCAGCAACGCCGCGUGGACGAUGAAGGCCUUCGGGUCGUAAAGUCCUUUUCAGGGGGACGAGAGAGGACGGUACCCCUGGAAUAAGUCACGGCUAACUACGUGCCAGCAGCCGCGGUAAAACGUAGGUGGCAAGCGUUAUCCGGAUUCACUGGGCGUAAAGCGCCUGCAGGCGGUCUCGUAAGUGGGAUGUGAAAUCUCCUGGCUUAACCGGGAGGGGCCAUUCCAUACUGCGGGACUGGAGGGCAGAAGAGGGAAGCGGAAUUCCCGGUGUAGUGGUGAAAUGCGUAGAUAUCGGGAGGAACACCAGUGGCGAAGGCGGCUUCCUGGCCUGCUCCUGACGCUAAGAGGCGAAAGCUAGGGGAGCGAACGGGAUUAGAAACCCGGGUAGUCC